rnacentral:misc_RNA from 1 species
CGCACAUUGCGCCCUUUGGUAUUCCGAAGGGCAUGCCUGUUCGAGCGUCGUUAAACAAAUCAAGCAUUGCUUGGUAUUGGGCGAUCGUCUUUUCAACGAAAGUCGUGCCCCGAAUCCACCGGCGAAGUCGAGUUUGACUCCUGGCGUAGUAGAAAUUCAACGUCUUGAUAAAUCGAUUGCUGCCGUUAAAAUAUUCUCCGAAAGGAGAUUUACCCAAAGUUUGACCUCGGAUCAGGUAGGGAUACCCGCUGAACUUAA